rnacentral:SRP_RNA from 1 species
GCCUGGGCACCAUGGCACGUGCAUGUAGUCCCAGCUACUUGGGAUGCUGAGGCAGGAGGAUCACUUGAGCCCAGGAGUUCUGGGCUGUAGUGCGCUAUGCCAGUCGGGUGUCCGCACUAAGUUCUGCAUCGAUAUGGUGACUUCCCGGGAGCAGGGAACCACCAGGUUGCCUAAUGAGGGGUGAACUGGCCCAGGUUGGAAAUGGAGCAGGUGAAAACUCCCGUGCUGAUCAGUAGUGGGAUUGUGCCUUUGAAUAGCCAUUGCACUCCCGGGCAACAUAGUGAGACCCUGUCUCU